GCCCAUCAUUUUAUGUAGUGUCUUAAUGAUCUUCAAUUCUCAAAUCUAGAUCAUUCAAAACUUAAUUCAAAAUUAAGUGUGUGAAACAUGUGUUUCAGUCUGUAGAACUAUUCUAUAAGGAUUUCAGAUGAAACAUACCAUAUAUUUCAACACAUAAAAAUAAAUUUUUAUAAUAUAUUUAAUAAUUAAACAUGCACAGAUAUGAUCUAAACU
rnacentral:lncRNA from 1 species